ACGCACGCUGGCGGCGUGCUUAACACAUGCAAGUCGCACGGAAAGGCCCUGCUUUUGUGGGGUGCUCGAGUGGCGAACGGGGGAGUAACACGUGAGUAACCUGCCCUUGACUUUGGGAUAACUUCAGGAAACUGGGGCUAAUACCGGAUAGGAGCUCCUGCUGCAUGGGGGGGGGUGGAAAGUUUCGGCGGUUGGGGAUGGACUCGCGGCUUAUCAGCUUGUUGGUGGGGUAGUGGCUUACCAAGGCUUUGACGGGUAGCCGGCCUGAGAGGGUGACCGGCCACAUUGGGACUGAGAUACGGCCCAGACUCCUACGGGAGGCAGCAGUGGGGAAUAUUGCACAAUGGGCGGAAGCCUGAUGCAGCAACGCCGCGUGCGGGAUGACGGCCUUCGGGUUGUAAACCGCUUUCGCCUGUGACGAAGCGUGAGUGACGGUAAUGGGUAAAGAAGCACCGGCUAACUACGUG
rnacentral:rRNA from 1 species